CCUACGGGGGACAGCAGUGGGGAAUAUUGGGCAAUGGGCGCAAGCCUGACCCAGCAACGCCGCGUGAAGGAAGAAGGCUUUCGGGUUGUAAACUUCUUUUGUCAGGGACGAAGCAAGUGACGGUACCUGACGAAUAACCCACGGCUAACUACGUGCCAGCAGCCGCGGUAAUACGUAGGUGGCAAGCGUUAUCCGGCUUUACUGGGUGUAAGGGGCGUGUAGGCGGGACUGCAAGUCAGAUGUGAAAACCACGGGCUCAACCUGUGGCCUGCAUUUGAAACUGUAGUUCUUGAGUGCUGGAGAGGCAGACGGAAUUCCGAGUGUAGCGGUGGAAUGCGUAGAUAUUAGGAGGAACAACAGAGGCGAAGGCGAUCUGCUGGACAGCAACUGACGCUGAGGCGCGAAAGCGUGGGGAGCAAACAGGAUUAGAUACCCCAGUAGUC
rnacentral:rRNA from 1 species